rnacentral:rRNA from 1 species
AUUGAACGCUGGCGGCAGGCCUAACACAUGCAAGUCGAGCGGGGGUAGCAAUACCCUAGCGGCGAACGGGUGAGGAAUGCUUGGGAAUCUGCCUCGUAGUGGGGGAUAACGUUCCGAAAGGAACGCUAAUACCGCAUACGUCCUACGGGAGAAAGGGGGGGAUCUUCGGACCUCUCGCUAUGAGAUGAGCCCAAGCGGGAUUAGCUAGUUGGUGAGGUAAAGGCUCACCAAGGCUACGAUCCCUAGCUGGUCUGAGAGGAUGAUCAGCCACACUGGAACUGAGACACGGUCCAGACUCCUACGGGAGGCAGCAGUGGGGAAUAUUGGACAAUGGGCGAAAGCCUGAUCCAGCCAUGCCGCGUGUGUGAAGAAGGCCUCGGUUGUAAG